CGUGAACGCUGGCGGUAGGCCUAACACAUGCAAGUCGAACGGCAGCACAGUAAGAGCUUGCUCUUACGGGUGGCGAGUGGCAGACGGGUGAGGAAUACAUCGGAAUCUACUUUUUCGUGGGGGAUAACGUAGGGAAACUUACGCUAAUACCGCAUACGACCUACGGGUGAAAGCAGGGGAUCUUCGGACCUUGCGCGAUUGAAUGAGCCGAUGUCGGAUUAGCUAGUUGGCGGGGUAAAGGCCCACCAAGGCGACGAUCCGUAGCUGGUCUGAGAGGAUGAUCAGCCACACUGGAACUGAGACACGGUCCAGACUCCUACGGGAGGCAGCAGUGGGGAAUAUUGGACAAUGGGCGCAAGCCUGAUCCAGCCAUACCGCGUGGGUGAAGAAGGCCUUCGGGUUGUAAAGCCCUUUUGUUGGGAAAGAAAAGCAGCAGGUUAAUACCCCGCUGUUCUGACGGUACCCAAAGAAUAAGCACCGGCUAACUUCGUG
rnacentral:rRNA from 1 species